CGGCUGCCGCGCAUUGAGUAGGGUUGGCAAAGUCAGGCUGUUUUCAUAGAGAAUGAUUUCCAUGCGUAACCUGUGGCAGGUGGGGGGAAGUCUGUCCAAUCUGCGGAGACCCCCUUAAGAGCCCCCGUCCCUUCCUCUUUUGGUACCCACAUGUGGGGAUUCACUUUACUAGCAGGGAGAAGGUAACCACGUCAUGACCUGCCUCUGUGGCACCAUCACCAGCUGGUGGGCCAGAAACCAGGCAUUCAGCUCUGUUACAACUGGCAAGCACUGAGGAGUUAGAACUCCAAUAAGUGAGACCCAUUUAAAUGCUCUACAGCAGGGGCAGUGCAUCCCACUUUCCCCUGAGGGAAAACAGGAAGGUCUGCCCCCUGCUACCCCGCCCCCCAGGUGGGGCUUCAUGGCGGCUGUGGCAAAGAUGGGUGGGGCAUCCUUGAGAUUGUGCUGCAAUCUCACCCUUGAGAUUGUGCUGCUUUGCCGGUUGUGGCUGGCAGUUCUGAAGGGGCAAAGUGAAGCAACUUCUGUUCCCUUUCACUGAAACUAUUCUCCACACACAGACACCGACUUUAGGUUUUGUUAAUUAUUAUAGCAUCUGCUGUGUUUAUGCUGCUUAGGAUUCACUGAAGCAAUUCGGCAAGCAGUUUAGGGUUGCCAUAUUUUGCAGAGCAAAAAAGAUCACUAUCACAACUCUCAUUUUUAAAAAAGAGGACGUGUCCUGGAAAAAGAAGCAACCCUAAGUAAUAUGGCCAAAGAGACAAUCUAGAGCAUAGCAAUCCUGAAAGAACAAAUAAAUAUAACAGUUAUGUAGCAGCUAAAUGUUGGACAGAAAUUGUAUUUUAUGGGGUUUUUGUGAAUUGAAAUUUUGGUUGAUUAAUCAUAUUAAGUUGCAACCAACUAAGUUCUACUCAAAGUAGACUCCUUUAAAUUAAUGGGCCUGUUUAAUAGGUCCAUUAAUGUCUGUGGGUCUGCUCUGAGUAUGACUAUCAUGGAAUGCAGCCCAUUAAAUUUAACUGAUUAAUUACUAUAUUAAUAACAUAGGGAGGCCUAAUCCCCAACACUGAACCCAUUUUGAUGCCAAAUUAAGAUCUUGCUUUUCAGAGCAGCCUUUGACAAGGACUGAAGGCUCUUUUAGUUGCUUUAUAUUCUCUUUUAGGGUUGUUUCCCCCUUUCUUGAUCUGGUGCUAUCUCAAUUUUGAUGGUAAGAUUACUUACCUGCUUUAUGCUGUUCUGUGUUUUUACUGUCAUAAUGUGAUUUUGCUUUGGUUUGUAAACUGCUCAGAUUUAUUUUAAAGAAGAAUGGGCCAUUUAUAUUACUAUUUCACAAUAAGCAGUAAUUAAAACUGUGAUCCUUUGCAUAUUUAUUCAGAAAUUGUCGCACGUAUGUGUAGGAUUGCACCCUAAUUCUGCAUACAUGUGCAUAUUAAUAAAACAGGUCUCAAAGAGGAAGGGAAAUCUAUCUUUGGUUAGAUUUAUGCCUAAGCCUUGCCUCUGCAUGCUUAGCUUUUGAGCUCCCGCUCCUUCCUCACUUCUUGGCUUUUAAGGGUCUGUCUUCCUCCUAUCCUGGUGCCACAGUUUCACAGUUUGGAAGUCAUAGGAAAUAUGGUUGCCUGUAAUUUAAGACUUCCUGGGUCAAAUAUGGCAAGCACAGAGUCCACUGUGCACAGGCACACAAGAUUUAUGUGUAUCUUGAUUUAUUACACCAAGAUGCACACAUCCAAACCAGGCCUUUGUUUGGAACUGUGGCACGUACAUGUUCCAGAAGGCAUUGGUGUGUAGUUUUACAAUAAAUUUUAUUUAUUGAAUUUACAAAUUUUACACAUUUUUGUGUUUUAGAAGGGGCAUUCCAUCCUGUGAGAGAGAUUAAGAAUGCUUCUUCUAAAACUAGUUGCACUGAAAUAAUUAAUUUUGUCAAAAGAAAAAAGAAAAAUCCACUUCCACAUUAACCGGGGUGCCUUUUUUAAACGUCAAAAGCUUUUGAACUGCAUGACGUUAAGUAUCUUUGACAAUGCACACCAUAUUAAGAAUCCCUUGCCAAAAGUAUUAAUCAAUUAAAUAUAUUUUUAUUUCCAAAGGGCUAGUGUAAUUACUCACAUUUUAGAUUAUUUUCUUUUGCCCUGUGUGAUAACAGCUAAACAUAUAAAGAAUGCUUUGUAGUAUCUAAAUGAAAAGUGCUAUAAAAAGCACAAAGUGUUUCCUAAACCCCUCCUGACUUCUUGCAUCUUUUUUCAACAAGCAAGGCUGGAACAAAGAAGCACAAAGUUACCUUGAGGAGCAGAGGAACAAGACGAGAGCCACACCGGGACGGCAGCUGGCAUUCUCGUUUGCUGUCAUUAGCUUGGAUCACAUGUCCGUACGGGGAGAAUCGUUUUCUAAUUCUUACUGGGAAGAGGAGAAAGCCGGAAGAGAGGGGGCAUUCAUUCUGCAUCUUUCAGAAAAGACCUUAAAGACCUUUUUAUUAUGCUGCUGUCUUCGGG